CAUAGUGUAGCUUAAACCCAAAGCAUCUGAUUUACACCCAGAAGAUUUUAUAAAUUAAACACUAUGA
rnacentral:tRNA from 1 species